rnacentral:rRNA from 1 species
CCUACGGGGGGCAGCAGUGAGGAAUAUUGGUCAAUGGGCGGAAGCAUGAACCAGCCAAGUCGCGUGAGGGAUUAAGGCCCUAUGGGUCGUAAACCUCUUUUGUCAGGGAGCAAGGUCGUCCACGUGUGGGCGUAUGGAGAGUACCUGAAGAAAAAGCAUCGGCUAACUCCGUGCCAGCAGCCGCGGUAAUACGGAGGAUGCGAGCGUUAUCCGGAUUUAUUGGGUUUAAAGGGUGCGCAGGCGGAUUUUUAAGUCAGCGGUCAAAUCGUGGGGCUCAACCCCAUCCAGCCGUUGAAACUGGGGAUCUAGAGUGUGCGAGAGGUAUGCGGAAUGCGUGGUGUAGCGGUGAAAUGCAUAGAUAUCACGCAGAACCCCGAUUGCGAAGGCAGCAUACCGGUGCACAACUGACGCUCAGGCACGAAAGCGUGGGUAUCGAACAGGAUUAGAUACCCUUGUAGUC